rnacentral:tRNA from 1 species
UUUAACCCCUUAGAAGAGCA